UACGGAGGGAGCUAGCGUUGUUCGGAAUUACUGGGCGUAAAGCGCACGUAGGCGGCUAUUCAAGUCAGAGGUGAAAGCCCAGGGCUCAACCUUGGAACUGCCUUUGAAACUAGAUAGCUAGAAUCCUGGAGAGGCGAGUGGAAUUCCGAGUGUAGAGGUGAAAUUCGUAGAUAUUCGGAAGAACACCAGCGGCGAAGGCGACUCGCUGGACAGGUAUUGACGCUGAGGUGCGAAAGCGUGGGGAGCAAACAGG
rnacentral:rRNA from 1 species